rnacentral:rRNA from 1 species
GUAGCGUAAUCACUUGUCUUUUAAAUGGAGACCUGUAUGAAUGGCAUAACGAGGGUUUGACUGUCUCCUCCCCCUAGUCAAUGAAAUUGAUCUGCCCGUGCAGAAGCGGACAUAACAACAUAAGACGAGAAGACCCUAUGGAGCUUUAGGCAAAUGAUCAAGCACACCAAGCCCGGUUUCCAAACAAAAUCCGGGAAAAUAAAAACCCAUGAUCAAUAUGCCUUCGGUUGGGGCGACCAUGGAGGAAAGAAGAUCCUCCAAGUGGAACGGGAAAACCCUUCAACUAAGAAUAACAGCUCGAAGUACCAGAAAUUCUGACCAAAUAUGACCCAGGACAAACCUGAUCAACGAACCGAGUUACCCUAGGGAUAACAGCGCGAUCCUCUCCCAGAGUCCAUAUCGACGAGGGGGUUUACGACCUCGAUGUUGGAUCAGGACAUCCUAAUGGUGCAGCCGCUAUUAAGGGUUCGUUUGUUCAACGAUUAAUAGUCCUACGUGAUCUGA